rnacentral:rRNA from 1 species
GUGGUAAUGCCGGAUGCUCCAUCUCAUUGCAUGGUGUUUUGGGAAAGCCUUUGCGGCAUGGGAUGGGGUCGCGUCCUAUCAGCUUGAUGGCGGGGUAACGGCCCACCAUGGCUUCGACGGGUAGCCGGCCUGAGAGGGCGACCGGCCACAUUGGGACUGAGAUACGGCCCAGACUCCUACGGGAGGCAGCAGUGGGGAAUAUUGCACAAUGGGCGCAAGCCUGAUGCAGCGACGCCGCGUGAGGGAUGGAGGCCUUCGGGUUGUAAACCUCUUUUGUUAGGGAGCAAGGCAUUUUGUGUUGAGUGUACCUUUCGAAUAAGCACCGGCUAACUACGUGCCAGCAGCCGCGGUAAUACGUAGGGUGCAAGCGUUAUCCGGAAUUAUUGGGCGUAAAGGGCUCGUAGGCGGUUCGUCGCGUCCGGUGUGAAAGUCCAUCGCUUAACGGUGGAUCCGCGCCGGGUACGGGCGGGCUUGAGUGCGGUAGGGGAGACUGGAAUUCCCGGUGUAACGGUGGAAUGUGUAGAUA